GACGAACGCUGGCGGCGUGCUUAACACAUGCAAGUCGAACGGAAAGGCCCUGCUUGCAGGGUACUCGAGUGGCGAACGGGUGAGUAACACGUGGGUGAUCUGCCCUGCACUUCGGGAUAAGCUUGGGAAACUGGGUCUAAUACCGGAUAGGAACCAUCUUUAGUGUGGUGGUUGGAAAGUUUUUUCGGUGUAGGAUGAGCUCGCGGCCUAUCAGCUUGUUGGUGGGGUAAUGGCCUACCAAGGCGGCGACGGGUAGCCGGCCUGAGAGGGUGUACGGCCACAUUGGGACUGAGAUACGGCACAGACUCCUACGGGAGGCAGCAGUGGGGAAUAUUGCACAAUGGGCGCAAGCCUGAUGCAGCGACGCCGCGUGGGGGAUGAAGGCCUUCGGGUUGUAAACUCCUUUCGCUAGGGACGAAGCUUUGUUGUGACGGUACCUAGAUAAGAAGCACCGGCUAACUACGUG
rnacentral:rRNA from 1 species